UUACCUAGGUCUUGACAUCCCGAUGCUAUUUCUAGAGAUAGAAAGUUAACUUCAGUACAUCGGUGACAGGUGGUGCAUGGUUGUCGUCAGCUCGUGUCGUGAGAUGUUGGGUUAAGUCCCGCAACGAGCGCAACCCCUAUUGUUAGUUGCCAUCAUUCAGUUGGGCACUCUAGCGAGACUGCCGGUAAUAAACCGGAGGAAGGUGGGGAUGACGUCAAAUCAUCAUGCCCCUUAUGACCUGGGCUACACACGUGCUACAAUGGUUGGUACAACGAGUUGCGAGUCGGUGACGGCGAGCUAAUCUCUUAAAGCCAAUCUCAGUUCGGAUUGUAGGCUGCAACUCGCCUACAUGAAGUCGGAAUCGCUAGUAAUCGCGGAUCAGCACGCCGCGGUCGAAUACGUUCCCGGGCCUU
rnacentral:rRNA from 1 species